rnacentral:rRNA from 1 species
GAUGAACGCUGGCGGCGUGCCUAAUACAUGCAAGUCGAGCGAACAGACGAGGAGCUUGCUCCUUUGAUGUUAGCGGCGGACGGGUGAGUUAAACGUGGGUAACCUACCUAUAAGACUGGGAUAACUUCGGGAAACCGGAGCUAAUACCGGACAACAUUUCGAUCGGCAUGGUUGGAUAGUGAAAGAUGGCUUUGCUAUCACUUAUAGAUGGACCUGCGCCGUUUUAUCUAGUUGGUACGCUAUCGGCUUACCACGGCAAGCGUACGUAGCCGACCUGAGAGGGUGAUCCGCCACACUGGAACUGAGACACGGUACAGACACCUACAGGAGGCAGAGGUAGGGAAUCGUCCGCAAUGGGCGAAAGCCUGACGGAUCAACGCCGCGCGAGUGAUGAAGGUCUUCGGACCGUAAGACUGUGUUAGGAGGGAAGACCGAACGUGUAAGUAACGGUGCACGUCUUGACGGUACCUAAUCAGAAAGCCACGGCUAACUACGUG